UUGUGAGUUCCUGUUUUUACAUGUUGGUUAAAAAACUCACCCACAAGCAGAAGUUCUAGAGGCCACCCCAGAGAAAUGUCCAGCCAUCAAGGUCACCUGGAGGUCCCCGCAUGGGGAGUGGGCGUGGGGGAGGGGCUACAGCAGGAACUGGAUGAUUCAUCAUCCCCAGGGGAAAAAUCAGGCCACUCGGGCAAAAUCAAAAGCACGAGUUCCAGGUUGCUGCUGCAGCUGGGCUUCCGGUCCCGCUCCCUGGCAACCAGAGAAUUCUGCAAGGGAGUGGACCCCAAAGUGCUCUGCAAACACUCCUACCCCUCCCCCUUUGCACCUGCUCUGGCGCUUCUCAAGAGCCUCACGAUAAAAUGCCCGGGAUCAACAGGAGGGAGAAACCUCCUCCAUGAGGAGUGUGGUCCCCAUGGAAGGAGAUCCCUUUCUAGGAAGGCGAUAAUUGCCACCCACGGAGUUCAGAACACAGGGGAAGAUAAUUUCACAUUUGUGCUGGGAAAUUUCAAACAGCAAAUUGAAAGUCACCAAAAAGGAAUUUGA
rnacentral:lncRNA from 1 species